rnacentral:pre_miRNA from 1 species
UGCUCAUUGCAUGGGCUGUGUAGAUUUUUAUUUAAUACACAGAACAUGCAGUGAGAACU